UCCAGGUUUGUUCUGGAAAACACUAGGUCUGAGAGACAGCAACAACAAAAGUAUACUCUACCAUUAAAGAAAUAAUGCCGUAUAUGUAGUAGCACUUUUCAAAGAAGGAAGAAAGGUGGGAGUCAUUUCCAGGGUAAUUUUGACAAGAGGAACUGUCAUUAUGAACAUGGUGGGUAUGAACUUCUGCCUUCACGCUGCCAGGAGAAUGAUGGAAGCAUGGAGAUGAGGGAUGUCCACAAGGACCGCCAACUAAGACACACUCCUUAUAGAAUCCAAUGCAACAGGAAGCUAGUGAAAUGACAUAGUGAAGAUCAAAUCCAUAUUACCAUUUGGAGAAAUAGAAAACCUCCAGAGAGAAAAAUGAGGCGGAACACACAAGAUGAAAACAUGAGGAAAUGGUUCAAGGUCACAAUAUGUAUAUUUGUCAGUCAUUUUACUGCGCCCUACUCUGUGAAGAAUAAGUUGAAGCCAGGCCAAAUGGAGAUGCUAAAGCUGACCAUGAACAAACGGUACAAUGUCUCCCAGCAAGCUCUUGAUCUCCAGAAUCUCCGCUUUGACCCAGACUUGAUGGGCCGUGACAUUGAUAUAAUCCUGAAUCGAAGAAACUGCAUGGCUGCCACCCUGAAGAUCACUGAAAGAAAUUUCCCUGAGCUGUUGUCUUUGAACUUGUGCAACAACAAACUGUACCAGCUGGAUGGCCUUUCUGACAUUACAGAGAAGGCUCCCAAAGUCAAGACCCUGAAUCUCUCCAAAAAUAAGCUGGAGUCGGCGUGGGAGUUGGGCAAGGUGAAAGGGCUGAAGCUCGAAGAGCUAUGGCUAGAAGGGAACCCGUUGUGCAGCACCUUCUCGGACCAGUCUGCCUAUGUAAGUGCCAUCCGGGAUUGUUUCCCCAAGUUGUUACGCCUGGACGGCCGAGAGUUAUCCGCACCAGUGAUUGUUGACAUUGACAGCUCUGAGACAAUGAAACCCUGCAAGGAAAACUUUACUGGAUCUGAGACCCUAAAGCAUUUAGUCCUGCAAUUCCUGCAGCAGAGCAACUUGUGCAAGUACUUCAAGGAUAGCAGGAAUAUAAAAAUUCUCAAAGACCCCUACCUGCAGAGGAAGCUGCUAAAGCACACAAAAUGUCCACGAAACGUGGACUCCCUCAGUGCAUUGCCUGAAACUCAGCAUGACUUCACCUCCAUCCUGGUGGACAUGUGGUACCAGACCGUGAACACCUGCUUCCUCCCUCGGGCAGGCCCAGAGAGCCAGAGUGGAAGGAUGGUCUCAGGGUUCUGAUCUUGCCUUCAUGUGGACCUUCAUCACUACCUCUGGCCGCAAUUCCAGUCUGUGCAUCAUGAAUGAUAAGCUGUUUCUGAGGGAUGCCAGCCCCCAAGAGACUCAGAGUGCCUUCUCCAUCCCAGUGUCCACACUCUCCUCCAGCUCUGAGCCCUCCCUCUCCUAGGAGCACAGGAAAUGGUGCAGGCUUUCUCUGCCCAGUCUGGGAUGAAACUAGAGUGGUCUCAGAAGUGCCUUCAGGACAAUAAGUGGAACUACAUUAGAGCUGGUCAGGUCUUCACUAUGCUCCAGACUGAGGGCAAGAUCCCAGUGGAGGCCUUCAAGCAAAUCCCCUAAAAGGAGCCCUUUGAUGUCAUCUUUGUCUUCCUUCUCAUCCUCUUUGUUUCCUCUUUUCACCAGCCUAAGACCACUCUAAGGACUGGGGUUGGAGGCCUGGCUGACCAAGAAGCCAAAGUUAACUUGCAGGCCACAGGACAUAGCCACCUGAAGAGCCAGUUGUUCUGUGUAUUUGCCCCACUCAUGAUCACCGUUUAUUUUCAUAAUAAACAGUGACGUUACAUGUUGUAUGUU
ensembl:lncRNA NXF5 nuclear RNA export factor 5